GAUGAACGCUGGCGGCGUGCUUAACACAUGCAAGUCGAACGGAAAGGCUCCUGCUUGCAGGGGUACUCGAGUGGCGAACGGGUGAGUAACACGUGGGUGAUCUGCCCUGCACUUCGGGAUAAGCCUGGGAAACUGGGUCUAAUACCGGAUAGGACGAUGGUUUGGAUGCCAUUGUGGAAAGUUUUUCGGUGUGGGAUGAGCUCGCGGCCUAUCAGCUUGUUGGUGGGGUAAUGGCCUACCAAGGCGUCGACGGGUAGCCGGCCUGAGAGGGUGUACGGCCACAUUGGGACUGAGAUACGGCCCAGACUCCUACGGGAGGCAGCAGUGGGGAAUAUUGCGCAAUGGGCGCAAGCCUGAUGCAGCGACGCCGCGUGGGGGAUGACGGCCUUCGGGUUGUAAACUCCUUUCGCUAGGGACGAAGCGUUUUGUGACGGUACCUGGAGAAGAAGCACCGGCUAACUACGUG
rnacentral:rRNA from 1 species